UUUCGCAAUGCCCGAAAGGGUGACGGAGCGACGCCGCGUGCGGGAAGAAGGCCUUCGGGUUGUAAACCGCUGUCGGGAGUUAAGAAAUGUAAGGAUGUUAAUAGCGUCUUUACUUGACUAAGGCUCCGGAGGAAGCCACGGCUAACUCUGUGCCAGCAGCCGCGGUAAUACAGAGGCGGCAAGCGUUGUUCGGAAUUAUUGGGCGUAAAGAGCACGUAGGCGGCUAUGUAAGUCGGUUGUGAAAGCCUUCCGCUCAACGGGAGAACAGCAUCCGAUACUGCAUGGCUUGAGUGUGGGAGGGGAGAGUGGAACUUCUGGUGGAGCGGUGAAAUGCGUAGAUAUCAGAAGGAACGCCGGCGGCGAAAGCGGCUCUCUGGCCCAUAACUGACGCUGAGUGUGCGAAAGCUAGGGGAGCAAACGGGAUUAGAUACCCCGGUAGUCCUAGCCGUAAACGAUGGGCACUAAGUAGAGGGGUUUUA
rnacentral:rRNA from 1 species